ACGAACGCUGGCGGCGUGCUUAACCCAUGCAAGUCGAACGGAAAGGCCCUGCUUGCAGGGUACUCGAGUGGCGAACGGGUGAGUAACACGUGGGUGAUCUGCCCUGCACUUCGGGAUAAGCCUGGGAAACUGGGUCUAAUACCGGAUAGGAGCCAUUUUUAGUGUGAUGGUUGGAAAGUUUUUUCGGUGUAGGAUGAGCUCGCGGCCUAUCAGCUUGUUGGUGGGGUAAUGGCCUACCAAGGCGGCGACGGGUAGCCGGCCUGAGAGGGUGGACGGCCACAUUGGGACUGAGAUACGGCCCAGACUCCUACGGGAGGCAGCAGUGGGGAAUAUUGCACAAUGGGCGCAAGCCUGAUGCAGCGACGCCGCGUGGGGGAUGACGGCCUUCGGGUUGUAAACUCCUUUCGCUAGGGACGAAGCUUUUUGUGACGGUACCUAGAGAAGAAGCACCGGCUAACUACGUG
rnacentral:rRNA from 1 species